UCAACGCAAGAUUGUUGAUAUAUUUUAGCUGUUCAGUCUGUUAGAAAUGGAGACAGCAGCCAAGCGUAGAAAAGUGCAGCAGAACACACGGGCUUUUUGUCAGACAAUACACCUGCUUCUUACUGUUGUCUCUGGAGAUGGUGAAGCGGCCAUUAACUGCAUUGGAGUAAUACUUCCUAUCACUAUCAUACUCGAUAGUUGCAACAAAUUCCAGUCCUUUUCCAGGCGCCUGUCUGAUCCAAGCCAUCCAGUAGCUACUAAAGUCGAAUCCAGAAGCUGUGCAGAUGUGUGUUUUGUACAGAUUUGAGUGUGUGGAGCUUCUAUCACUGAUACCAACUUUACACAGCUCAGAUUCAACAACCUGCUCAAAAGCUUUUAAAUGGAUUUUCACAACCAGAUGACGUUAUGAGCAGCUAUGGAACAACACACACGAAGAUAAUGGAGACAAUAAUGUCCAAAUAUUUAAAGAAGACUUGGAUAAGAAGACUUUGCCCUAACGAUCUGUGCCACACAGCUCUUGUUUAAAGAGCUUGUAUUUGAAAUAAAGAUAGGAGUUGCACCUGUUGUUAUUUUGUUGUUUUCUCUUAGUUGAAUGACUGUUUAAUUUUUUUCUUGGUGCCAUCAUCUCUUGUUCCAGUGCGAUCUUAUUUAAUAACAUCCAAUUCAUUUACCACUGACUUACUUUCAGGUGUUUAUUUUGUCUGAUAUAGGGAUCGUAUUGCGACAAGGUGCAUAUGAACAGCUGUGUGGGGAAAUGUAGGUCAUGUUGUUCUAAAUGCGAGCUAGAUUAUAACAAAAAUAGGUUAUAAUAGAAUUAAAAAUGCACAAUCGUGUACACAGUGAGUGAAGCCUAUAGGAAAUUCAAUUUAGAUAGUUUACUUAAUGUUGAAACGUAUGACGUUGAAACAUCAUCAGGAUAUCAACGCUGAUUCAAUUUACAAAAGCGAAACCAAUUUCAACGGUGAUGCAACGUUGAAAUGUCGGCUGGGCCUGCUCAGGCAAGGAGAUGUUCAGUAAUUUAUUAUCUUAAUUUUAUGCUGUUAUUUAUUUCUUACUUUGCAUGUUACACGUGACGCGGACUCGACUGUAAUCGGAAACAUUUCCGAGUCCAAAAUGUCCGAGUCCGUGUCAAGUUCAAAUGUAAAAUUUACCCGAGUGUGUGACAAGUCCGACUUAAUUCAUAAUUGGACUCGAGUCCGAGUCCGUUAUCGAGAAUCCCAAUUAAUUCUAAAGUCCGGUUUGCCAAAUAUAUCUGAGUGAAGACCCCAAAAAAUGUUAUACUGUACAAAAACCACAAAUUCAUUGGAAUGUUAUGUAUAGAUGGUUUAGUUUACACAGACUGCACCCUAAAGAUAUAAAACAGUAACUAGGACCUGAAUUGAAAAUAAACUGCUGUUGCACAUUUUUACUAAAAGACACUUGGAAUACCACAGAAGCAGAGGAGCUCAGUGACAGAUUCAGUAAGGAAUAAAUCACUUUCGGAGGAAAAUAAUUAUCAAUGAAGUAAAACAGAUUUCCUGUUACCACCCAAAGGACUUCUUCUCAUCACUUACAUUAUUACAGUUCUAAAAUGUCGCUUCCUAACCGGCCUCACCCAUUAAAUAAAAAAAAAAAAAAGUAGCUUUUAUAGACUGAAACAGGUCGUGAUGGUAAUCAGUGCAGUCCUCUAUGUGUUGUGUACUGAGUCAACACCAGGAAUUAGUCCUUAAGAUACACCAACAAAUAGCUUUGCAAGUGAAAUUUAUUACCAAAUAUUUUAAGUAGCAUUUGAAUUAAAAUAUAGGAAGUAAAAUAAACAAAUAAAAGCUUUUAAACAUAUAAAGCAAGUGGAAUAUUAACUGGAUUAUAUUCUUAUUAACGAUGACCUGAGUAAACCUUUGUACUAUUUUUUUAUUUAAAAAAUAUAUAUAAAUGAUUUAGGUGUCUAGCAGGAGCAGUAGAGAUGUAGAGAACAUGGUGUGUGUUGUUUGUAAUGGGGUCUUCUCUGUUCUCUAAAUGUAUUAAAAUGUAUAGAAAUUCAGCUUAUGGCAUAUAUGUGGAUAUGUGCCUCUUUAUCAAAUCUAUAAUUUUCUAUAAAAUAUUGAAGUGUCAGUGUAAUAAGCACAAUGAUUAAAUAGUAAAUUGAGCAUGAUAAUAAUUAUCUGUGCUUGAGAAUAUUGGGUUCAUUAUAAUGGAAAAAAUCCUCUCAAAAUGCUCUCACACUUUCUCACACAUGAUCACACAAAUUUAAAUUUGUUGAGGUGAUUAUUGUUACGUAAAGAUACUACAGUAUAACAAGUUCUUUUAAGUGAUGUGAUUAUAAUGGUGUGUAUAAUGUGCAACAAUGUUAGAGAUGUAGCAUCAUUAUAUUAGAAAUAUGAAAUAAAUGAAAUUAAAAUUUACAUUAUAAACGUUAAAUAUCUUUAAACUCUUUGUUUUAUUUGUGUGAUUAUAUUUUAUAGGUAGACAUAUGAGGUGUUUUUGUAUAGGGAUGUUGUUGAUCUGUCUCACCGUGGCCAACAA